rnacentral:rRNA from 1 species
CCUACGGUGGGCUGCAGUGGGGAAUAUUGCACAAUGGGGGAAACUCUGAUGCAGCGACGCCGCGUGAGGGAAGAAGUAUUUCUGUGUGUAAAGCUCUAUCAGUAGGGAAGAAAAUGACGGUACGUGAUUAAGAAGCCCCGUCUAACUACGGUCCAGCAGCCGCGGUAAUACGUAGGGAGCAAGCGUUAUCCGGAUUUACUGGGUGUAAAGGGAGCGUAGACGGCAGCACAAGUCUGUAGUGAAAUGCCGGGGCUCAACCCUGGAACUGCGUUGGAAACUGUGCAGCUAGAGUGCAGGAGAGGUAAGUGGAAUUCCUAGUGUAGCGGUGAAAUGCGUAGAUAUUAGGAGGAACACCAGUGGCGAAGGCGGCUUACUGGACUGUAACUGACGUUGAGGCUCGAAAGCGUGGGGAGCAAACAGGAUUAGAUACCCGGGUAGUC